UGGGGAAUCUUCCGCAAUGGACGAAAGUCUGACGGAGCAACGCCGCGUGAGUGAUGACGGUCUUCGGAUUGUAAAGCUCUGUUAAUCGGGACGAAUGGUUUGUGUGCAAAUAGUGCAUAGACAUGACGGUACCGGAAUAGAAAGCCACGGCUAACUACGUGCCAGCAGCCGCGGUAAUACGUAGGUGGCAAGCGUUGUCCGGAAUUCUUGGGCGUAAAGCGCGCGCAGGCGGACUAGCCAGUCAGUCUUAAAAGUUCGGGGCUUAACCCCGUGAUGGGAUUGAAACUACUAGUCUAGAGUAUCGGAGAGGAAAGUGGAAUUCCUAGUGUGGCGGUGAAAUGCGUAGAUAUUAGGAAGAACACCAGUGGCGAAGGCGACUUUCUGGACGAACACUGACGCUGAGGCGCGAAAGCCAGGGGAGCGAACGGG
rnacentral:rRNA from 1 species